UACGUAGGGGGCAAGCGUUGUCCGGAUUUAUUGGGCGUAAAGAGCUCGUAGGUGGUUCGGUAAGUCGGAUGUGAAAUCUCCAGGCUCAACCUGGGGGGGUCAUUCGAUACUGCCGUGACUAGAGGUCGGUAGGGGAGUGUGGAAUUCCUGGUGGAGCGGUGAAAUGCGCAGAUAUCAGGAGGAACACCCGUAGCGAAGGCGGCACUCUGGGCCGAUACUGACACUGAGGAGCGAAAGCGUGGGGAGCGAACAGG
rnacentral:rRNA from 1 species